rnacentral:rRNA from 1 species
CCUACGGGGGGCAGCAGUGGGGAAUAUUGCACAAUGGGGGAAACCCUGAUGCAGCGACGCCGCGUGAGUGAAGAAGUAAUUCGUUACGUAAAGCUCUAUCAGCAGGGGAGAAACACUGACCUUACGGUCAGCAGACGGUACCUGAGUAAGAAGCCCCGGCUAACUACGUGCCAGCAGCCGCGGUAAUACGUAGGGGGCAAGCGUUAUCCGGAUUUACUGGGUGUAAAGGGAGCGUAGACGGUGCGCCAAGUCUGGAGGGAAAUGCCGCAGCUUAACUGCGGAACUGCUUUGGAAACUGGCGAACUAGAGUGCGGGAGGGGUAAGCGGAAUUCGUGGUGUAGCGGUGAAAUGCGUAGAUAUUAGGAGGAACACCGGUGGCGAAGGCGGCUUACUGGACCGUAACUGACGUUGAGGCUCGAAAGCGUGGGGAGCAAACAGGAUUAGAUACCCCAGUAGUC